rfam:Trichoplax adhaerens TRIADscaffold_15 genomic scaffold, whole genome shotgun sequence.
GCACUGUUAGUGUAGUGGUAUCAUGCAAGAUUCCCAUUCUUGCGACACGGGUUCGAUUCCCGUACAGUGCA